UGAUUAAGAAUAGUUUAUAGAAGACUAGGAGAUGAGAGCUUACAUUUGAAAAAAAAUGAAGUGUUUUGUUUCCUUCCCUCUAACAGACAUCUAAACAUUUCUUUUGACCUAAUGUGGUGUGAUGGGUGGAGRGAGGCCGGAAGGGAUGUAAUACCGGGUACUGCUUCUUCAAUGAGCACAUUUUGAUCGCAGAUCUGAAGACAUUUUUUCAAAAUGGCAAGUGAGGUGAUUUAUGCAGAAGUAUCACCAGAAGAGAGAGGGCAUUUUACUUCACAAACUUCAGAUGAAGGUGAUAGGACGACAUACGCUGAGGUGAAAGUGAAAUGGAAAUCUGACACGUCUGACAAUACACCCAAGACUACACAUACAGAUAAUGGAAGAGAUGCUUAGGGCUAGGUGCACAAAGAGAUGCAGAUAUGAUUCAGGCAAAUUAGAAGAUCUUCAAAACCUUUCCCAGCUACUGAUUAUCCCUGAGAUGCCUGGAGCCUGCUGGUGAUGUUUUCUGAGUUAGCAGGUACAGUUAGAGUCUCCAAGGUUUUCAUUGAGCUGAAUGUUUUGUCCCUGACCAACAGGUCAGCCUGCCAGGGUUCACAGCAUCAGCACUGUCUGCCUUAGGUUGCCUUCCGAACUCAGC
rnacentral:lncRNA from 1 species